GGUCUGGCUUAUUGGUCGUGCUUUUGUACGUACUGGUAUAAUCGGUUUCUCCUUUCUGACGAACUAUAAUGCCAUUAAUUUGGUGUUAUAGGGAAUCAGGACUGUUACUUUGAAAAAAUUAGAGUGUUUAAAGCAGGCUCACGCUUGAAUACAUUAGCAUGGAAUAACGGAAUAGGACGUUUGAUUCUAUUUUGUUGGUUUCUAGGAUCGACGUAAUGAUUAAUAGGGAUAGUUGGG
rnacentral:rRNA from 1 species